UGUGACAUACCAAUUGUUGCCUCGGCGGAUCAGCCCGCUCCCGGUAAAACGGGACGGCCCGCCAGAGGACCCCUAAACUCUGUUUCUAUAUGUAACUUCUGAGUAAAACCAUAAAUAAAUCAAAACUUUCAACAACGGAUCUCUUGGUUCUGGCAUCGAUGAAGAACGCAGCAAAAUGCGAUAAGUAAUGUGAAUUGCAGAAUUCAGUGAAUCAUCGAAUCUUUGAACGCACAUUGCGCCCGCCAGUAUUCUGGCGGGCAUGCCUGUUCGAGCGUCAUUUCAACCCUCAAGCCCAGCUUGGUGUUGGGACUCGCGAGUCAAAUCGCGUUCCCCAAAUUGAUUGGCGGUCACGUCGAGCUUCCAUAGCGUAGUAGUAAAACCCUCGUUACUGGUAAUCGUCGCGGCCACGCCGUUAAACCCCAACUUCUGAAUGUUGACCUCGGAUCAGGUAGGAAUACCCGCUGAACUUAAGCAUAUCAU
rnacentral:rRNA from 1 species